GACGAACGCUGGCGGCGUGCCUAAUACAUGCAAGUUGAGCGCUGAAGGUUGGUACUUGUACCAACUGGAUGAGCAGCGAACGGGUGAGUAACGCGUGGGGAAUCUGCCUUUGAGCGGGGGACAACAUUUGGAAACGAAUGCUAAUACCGCAUAAAAACUUUAAACACAAGUUUUAAGUUUGAAAGAUGCAAUUGCAUCACUCAAAGAUGAUCCCGCGUUGUAUUAGCUAGUUGGUGAGGUAAAGGCUCACCAAGGCGAUGAUACAUAGCCGACCUGAGAGGGUGAUCGGCCACAUUGGGACUGAGACACGGCCCAAACUACUACGGGAGGCAGCAGUAGGGAAUCUUCGGCAAUGGACGAAAGUCUGACCGAGCAACGCCGCGUGAGUGAAGAAGGGUUUCGGAUCGUAAAAAUCUGUUGGUAGAGAAGAACGUUGGUGAGAGUGGAAAGCUCAUCAAGUGACGGUAACUACCCAGAAAGGGACGGCUAACUACGUG
rnacentral:rRNA from 1 species